AGUAGCCAAGUGAUGGGGUGACGCAGUGAGGUAGCUGAGCCAUUUAUUGGAUUGUGGUGUAAGCGUGUGGCCCGUGGCAUAGGUAAAUCCGUGUCGCAUAUUUGGGUGAGGCGUGAUGCGUAGACCUUUGUGGUUGAUGUUGGUGAUCCUGUACUGUCGAGAAAAGCCUCUAGCGAGUGCAUAUAUGGCCCGUACCCAUAA
rnacentral:rRNA from 1 species